rfam:Gorilla gorilla gorilla genomic chromosome, chrX, whole genome shotgun sequence
GGGCAUGGUGGUGUACGCCGGUAGUCCUAGUCACUCAGAAGGGCGAGGCAGGAAAAUUGCUCGAACCCAGGAGGCGAAGCUUGCGGUGAGCCGAGGUCGUGCCACUGCACUCCAGCNNNNNNNNNNGCUGGAGUGCAGUGGCACGACCUCGGCUCACCGCAAGCUUCGCCUCCUGGGUUCGAGCAAUUUUCCUGCCUCGCCCUU